CUUGGAGAGUGGUUCAAGAAGGGAUCAAGCAUCAUCCUACGAAACAUUGUGUGAAGCCUUUUACUGCUUCAAUACCUCUACAAAUGAUAGCUGCUCAUUUAUAUAUGCAUAUGACAAAACACCAUGUGGACACAAAAAGUGGUGCAUAGACGGAAAGUGUGUUCAAGAUUCUAACGCAUCAGAUGUGUCCGAUACCUGUCCGGUAGGAGACCGUUACAAUGACUCAUCCGUUUCCUACAACAAUAUGACAUGCGCAGAAAUAAGACAGCACGACAACAAUUGGGCAUGUUAUAAAAGCUAUACUAAUAAGCAAUGUUGUGAAACAUGUG